CCCUUAGACGUUCUGGGCCGCACGCGCGCUACACUGACCAGUGCAACAAGCAUCCGUCCUUGGCCGACAGGCCUGGGCAAUCUUUGAACAUCGAUCGUGAUCGGGAUAGAUUCUUGUAAUUUUUGAUCUUAAACGAGGAAUUCCUAGUAAACGCAAGUCAUCAGCUUGCAUUGAUUACGUCCCUGCCCUUUGUACACACCGCCCGUCGCACCUACCGAUUGAAUGGUCCGGUGAAAUCUCCGGACUGGCGUGAGUCGGAGCAAUCUGACAAACGCCGGAAAGUUGAUUAAACCUUACCAUUUAGAGGAAGGUGAAGUCGUAACA
rnacentral:rRNA from 1 species